rnacentral:rRNA from 1 species
GCUGAUGCAGCGACGCCGCGUGAGGGAUGACGGCCUUCGGGUUGUAAACCUCUUUCAGCAGGGAAGAAGCGAGAGUGACGGUACCUGCAGAAGAAGCGCCGGCUAACUACGUGCCAGCAGCCGCGGUAAUACGUAGGGCGCAAGCGUUGUCCGGAAUUAUUGGGCGUAAAGAGCUCGUAGGCGGCUUGUCACGUCGGAUGUGAAAGCCCGGGGCUUAACCCCGGGUCUGCAUUCGAUACGGGCAGGCUAGAGUUCGGUAGGGGAGAUCGGAAUUCCUGGUGUAGCGGUGAAAUGCGCAGAUAUCACGAGGAACACCGGUGGCGAAGGCGGAUCUCUGGGCCGAUACUGACGCUGAGGAGC